AGGUCAAUUAAGGCAAACUCACACACACAAUACAUAAGAAAGACUUGAACCCAAGAUCUCUUGUUGAUAGCAAAGUUCUCAACUAACAGACCAAGGACGAUGACAUGUGAAGAAGAAGUCGCGACUAUAUCUUAUUGGGAGAGGCCAUUAAUGAGACCUAUGGCUUGUGCUUGCAAAAACCUCGACGAUGAAGAAGAUUAGAUGAACUCACAAUGAGAGCUUGUUGGGAGGCCAUUGAUGUGACUAGUGGUGUGCGCACUUGAAACCCUCAUCAAUGAAGAAGAGUUUAAUGAAGUAGCAAAGGAAAAGCAUGGUUAACAGGAAUUUAGCAGUAAUAAAUGUGAUUAACUCGUAA